rnacentral:rRNA from 1 species
AUGCACGCUGGCGGCGUGCCUAAUACAUGUAGGUCGAGCGCACGGACGAGAAGCUUGCUUCUCUGAUGUUAGCGGCGGACGGGUGAGUAACACGUGGAUAACCUACCUAUAAGACUGGGAUAACUUCGGGAAACCGGAGCUAAUACCGGAUAAUAUUUUGAACCGCAUGGUUCAAAAGUGAAAGACGGUCUUGCUGUCACUUAUAGAUGGAUCCGCGCUGCAUUAGCUAGUUGGUAAGGUAACGGCUUACCAAGGCAACGAUGCAUAGCCGACCUGAGAGGGUGAUCGGCCACACUGGAACUGAGACACGGUCCAGACUCCUACGGGAGGCAGCAGUAGGGAAUCUUCCGCAAUGGGCGAAAGCCUGACGGAGCAACGCCGCGUGAGUGAUGAAGGUCUUCGGAUCGUAAAACUCUGUUAUUAGGGAAGAACAUAUGUGUAAGUAACUGUGCACAUCUUGACGGUACCUAAUCAGAAAGCCACGGCUAACUACGUG